rnacentral:rRNA from 1 species
UACGUAGGGGGCAAGCGUUGUCCGGAAUUAUUGGGCGUAAAGAGCGCGCAGGCGGUGUGACAAGUCAGAUGUGAAAGAGGCCGGCUUAACCGGCAAGGGUCAUUUGAAACUGUCAGACCAGAGUGCAGCAGAGGAUAGUGGAAUUCCCGGUGUAGUGGUGAAAUGCGUAGAUAUCGGGAGGAACACCAGUGGCGAAGGCGACUAUCUGGGCUGCAACUGACGCUGAGGCGCGAAGGCUAGGGUAGCAAACAGG